CCAUGAUGUUAAUACUAUUGUCCUGCCACGACAGUGAUGUAGCAGGUCUCCAUAAGGGUAAACAGAGAUGAUGCAGAGAGACUACCACUAACUACUGUUGGUGAAUGCUUGGAGGGAAGAUAUUAAGUCCUGCUUGAAGGAAGACCUUGGACAAAGGAGACAGUCUGUAAUUAUGAAGGCUUUAUGACCGCUGCACGGGCUACCAAUAACAUCAGUUCAAUGCAUUUCCCUGACACGUGCAAACACACAUACUUGCAUGCUAACAGGUGUACACACAGGCACACACAUUUUUGCAAAACAUGCCGAGGCUUGCAUUCAGGCCUCCCAAAUACAGCAUGCCUAGGGGGUGGGGGCUAAUAAUGUCUACACAGAGGCAGAGAGUUGGCCAGCACACAGAGCUUUGGAAGGCAGUUGACGACCUGAUAAGGCCUUAAUGAUAAGCCAACAGGUUAGGGAAAUGAGAGUGAAAUAGAGGGAAGGUUCAUUCACAUUGAGUGUUUAAAAAAACUUGUUGGCUUCACUCAUAACGAGACAGAAUUGUCAGAUUAAAUGUUUUCGUUGAUCAUUUUCUUAUUUACAGAUUUUCUGCUUCAGACAAACACUUGCGCUUCCUUGAGCAACCGACGUGCUGAUAAAUGUGCAUAUGUAAGAGGUAGACACGAGGUCGAGGGGUAGACACGAGGUCGAGGGGUAGACACGAGGUCGAGGGGUAGACACGAGGUAGAGGGGUAGACACGAGGUCGAGGGGUAGACACGAGGUCGAGGGGUAGACACGAGGUAGAGGGGUAGACACGAGGUAGAGGGGUAGACACGAGGUAGAGGGGUAGACACGAGGUAGAGGGGUAGACACGAGGUAGAGGGGUAGACAUGAGGUAGAGGGGUAGACAUGAGGUAGAGGGGUAGACAUGAGGUAGAGGGGUAGACAUGAGGUAGAGGGGUAGACAUGAGGUAGAGGGGUAGACACGAGGUAGAGGGGUAGACAUGCUUGAGGUGGUGUUUUUCUUACUGAGC